rnacentral:lncRNA from 1 species
AUUCAUCGAUGACUACCUGCUGAGCAAUGAGGAGCUGGCACGGAGAGUGGAGCAGAGGGACCUAUGCGAGUGACCUUGAGUCAGGGUGUGGCUGAAGCACCUGUCCUAGGGAGCUUAAACUAAGGAGGAAAUGUCGUGUCCUCCCCCCCCCACACACACACACACACACUGUUGGGAGCAGCCCUCGGGUGGGGGUGAGGUUUGCCAAAUCUAGGACAGUUCCAGGCAGCAUUUUAGGGCAGAAUAUUCAUUUCCCUAAGCAAGUCUCCACUUCGGGUAGCACUGGAGGAGCCUAUGAAACUGAGGACAUGCCCUGGGUGGUGAGUUGUAGACCGAAGGCCUUCUUCACCUGCCUGGAGCCUCUCUCUCUAGACUCUUCCCAAAGCCUUUCAGAUAAGUAAAUACCAAAUUCAUUCCU